AUGUACUCACACAGGGGCUCAUUGACUCUCAUGACUGCACUGCUUCUGCAACUUGCCUCAUUUCUUCCUGUAAACAUUGGUAUCAAGGGAUUUAGGAACAGAGAAAUCCCUCCCUUCCUCUGCCUUGGAAGUGCCUACCAUGCGUCCAAGGGCGAGCUCCUCGCCAGCCUGCACAUCACAGCCCUGCUGAAUGUCUCCCGGCGGACCUCCGGGGCCUGCACGACCCGCCUACACGACAAACGGAUCCCUGCGGAAGACAGCCACACGGCUGACAUUAGCUCCCACUUUCAGGAAGCAAUAGACUUCAUUGACUGUCGGGGGAAAGGGAGGCAAGGUCCAGGUCCACUGAGAGGCUGGGACCUCCCGAUCACCCACCAUCUGCAUGGCUUACCUCAUGAAGACCAAGCAGCUCUGCCUGCAGGAGGCCUUCGAUAACAUCCAGCAGAGGAGGGGUAUGGUCUCACCCAACUUUGGCUUCAUGGGCCUGCUCCUGAAGUACGAAUCUGAGAUCCUGCCCUCCACGCCCAACCCCCCGCCUCCCUGCUGCCAAGGGGAGGCAGCAGGCUCUUCAUUGAGAGGCCCUUUGCAGACACUGAGCCCUGACACGCAGGGUGCCUACUGCACAUUCCUGCCUCGGUGCUGGCGCCGGUGCCCACCCGCUCGACAGUCCCGGAGCUCCGCAGAAGCCCUGCGGCCACGGCCACAGCCUGCUAAAACUGGGAUGGAGGAGCCAGCCCAGCCCCAAGAGCAACUGUGAUUUUUGGUUUUACGACUCAUUUCAUACCUGUGCAAUGCUGAAGACCUCACUCUGUCAUGCUGCCCCAGCGAGACAGCGAGUGGUCACCAGGCUUGCAAAUGAACUUCAGACGGGCCUCGGGGUAGGCUCUCGGGACUGAAGGAAGGCCAAGCCAUUGGGGCAGCACAGCACGUGCUGACUACUGUACUUCCAGAUUCCCUUCCCUCUGGGGGCUGCCCAGUCCUUGCACCUCAAAGUUCGCCUUUUCAUUUCAAGCAUAAGGCAGUAAACCUGCAGCAACAUGGGAGAAAUAAGUUGCUGGACCAGGAGAAAAGGCAGAUACGAAGCCAAUUCAUUUUGAAGGAAGCACAAUUUCCACCUUAUUUUUUGAACUUCGGCAGUUUCAAUGUCUGUCUCCGUUGCUUCAGGGCAUAAGCUGAUCACUGUCUAGUUGGGAAAGUAACCCUACAGGGUUUGUGGGGACAUGAUCAGUAACCUGAUUUGAAGCCUGAGAUGUUUUUUAGAUACCUUCUUGGGUCCAGUGAGGCAAUUGGUUGAAGUAGCAAGAUGCUGGCUUUUCUGUUUUUUUUGUUUUUUGUUUUUUGGCCGUGGGUUCUUCACUGACCUUGGACUUUGGCAUGAUUCUUAUUCAUACUUGAACUCGUCUCAUUCCACCUCUUCUCAGAGCAACUCUUCAUUUGAGAAAAGAGUUUUUCAGAUCGUGGACCAGAAAUAGUCAUCCCCUCGAGGUGGUGGCAGUAGAUGCCUGGAGGAGAAGGGUACUUGCUGUGUAUCCUGGGUCAGUGGUGUUGAGCACUGGUUUCCUCAGCUUCCUGUCGUUCUGUGUGCUUAUGUCUCUUGUGACAGUUGUUUUCCUCCCUGCCCCUGGAGGUUGUCUUCAAGCUGUGGACUUCUGGGAUUUACUGAUUUUGCAAUGUGGUACUACUUUUUUUUUUCUUUCUUUUUGUCUGUUGGUUAUUUCUCCAGGGGAAAAGGCAAUAAUUUUCUAAAACCCAUGUGAAUGUGAAGAAAAGCAGUAUGUUAAUGGUUGUUGUUUGUUAUAGUGUAAAAUAAAAAUUGUAAAAGAAAAAAAAAAAGGAAUACCAUGGAGAACCGUGAAAAGGCCUUUUUGCUUUGUUGUCCACUCCAGCAACUUUUUUCCACUGGUUCUAACUUUGCUGUUAUGGCCUGACAGUAAAAUACUUACCGUGAAAGCCUAGGAAAGCAGUAUUUUUCUCCAAUAUAAUUUGAUUUUGUACUCUUUGCUUUUCUUGAUAUAUCUAAUUGUUGCACUUAUAAUGUUAGACACAUUUUUUUGUUUGAUUAAAUUCAAGUGUCCUUUUAGUCAGGUCCAACUUCCAGAUUAUCUAAAUCAACACUUUAUAAGGAGAAAAAAUCACACUGCAAAAGAUUACCCUUUUGGUAGCUGGCUUAAAAUAAAAAGAUUUUACAUUUCAUCAAAAUAAA